UUCCACUAUGCUUAUUAUUUUUAAUAUUUUAUUAGAAUAGUAUCCCAAGUUUUUCCUAUAAAUAGCCCUUCCAAAACUCAUCUUGAAAUCACAAAAACCUCAUUUCCUUUCUCUUACUCUACCCAAAAAUAUUCUUAACAUCCUUCUAAAGUUCUAAACCUCGGAGAUCUAGGCGAAGUUCUGUCCAUAACGCUAGCCUACGAAAACCUUUUAGGAAGCUAACAAUUUCGAUUGUUUUAUCAAGACGCAAGGUAAGAGACCCCAAAUAUAAAUUGUUGAUGAGUAUACGUGGGGCCAACAUGACUGUACAUAUGGGGCUGACCUGAAGGGAGUGGAGUUCUGCUAUGCUAUUUUAUAAAUAAACAAGAAACUUGGUUUUAUUAUAUUUCAUUAAAAGUAUUUUGUGAACUUUAUCAUUUACUUAAAGCUUUAAAAGUAUUUCAUGAACUUUGUAAUUUACAUAAAGCUUUUCAAUUUAUCAGUUGGAUACAUUUUCAUUUCUACGUUAAGGUGUAGUAACGCCACGAAAAUGAUUUAUAAAAGUAUUAAGAUUUGUAUGUAAGAUAAAGUUUUUAUUUAGUUGUGAGUAUUAUGUGGUUUGAGGUUAUAAACAUUAUUUAUGUAUUGUUUAAUAAAGUUUUUUG